rnacentral:tRNA from 1 species
AUUUAAAUAGUUUAUAAAAACAUUGAUUUGUGGAGUCAAAGAUGUACAAUUGUAUUUUAAAUA